rnacentral:rRNA from 1 species
UACGUAGGGUGCGAGCGUUGUCCGGAAUUAUUGGGCGUAAAGAGCUCGUAGGCGGUCUGUCGCGUCGAUCGUGAAAACUUGGGGCUUAACCCUGAGCUUGCGGUCGAUACGGGCAUGACUGGAGUUCGGCAGGGGAGACUGGAAUUCCUGGUGUAGCGGUGAAAUGCGCAGAUAUCAGGAGGAACACCGGUGGCGAAGGCGGGUCUCUGGGCCGAUGACUGCGUGAGACGAGAACGUGGGGAGCAAACAGG